rnacentral:lncRNA from 1 species
CUGGAACACAAGAUGAAGGGAGUUUGGAUCUCAGUUGCCAAAGACUUCUCAGUUACCAAUAGGUUGGGCUAGCUUUGGACCCAGGUCAGUCUGGCUCCAUAUUUUACCCACUUCUUCUCCUUCCCCAAUCCUAAAACACUUGGGAGCCGAAGGGAAAGGUCCUAAUGGAACUUGGGUGUUUCCUGAGGGGUCCAAAGGGGAUUUCCUGGAGUCAGAAUGGCCAAGUUUCCUGAAGUUAAACAGUUGACACAGACAAAUAACAGACACUCCCAGAAACAUGAAACCAACAGCCAACGAACCGACCAACAGUCAACCAACGGACCUACAGCACCACCAACAAAAAAAUGGUCUUUUCAACAGAUGAAGAAUCUGAGCUUCAGGAAGGUUAAGCAGGUUUGCUUGAGAUCACAAAGCUG